rnacentral:tRNA from 1 species
UCCCUGGUGGCUAAGUGGUAAAGAAUCUGCCUGCCAAUGCAGGAGACACAGGUUCAAUACUUGAUCUGGGAA